GAUGAACGCUGGCGGCGUGCCUAAUACAUGCAAGUCGAGCGAACAGACGAGGAGCUUGCUCCUCUGACGUUAGCGGCGGACGGGUGAGUAACCCGUGGAUAACCUACCUAUAAGACUGGGAUAACUUCGGGAAACCGGAGCUAACACCGGAUAAGAUAUUGAACCGCAUGGUUCAAUAGUGAAAGACGGUUUUGCUGUCCCUUAUAGAUGGUUCCGCGCCGCAUUAGCUAGUUGGUAAGGUAACGGCUUACCAAGGCAACGAUGCGUAGCCGACCGGAGAGGGUGAUCGGCCACACUGGAACUGAGACACGGUCCAGACUCCUACGGGAGGCAGCAGUAGGGAAUCUUCCGCAAUGGGCGAAAGCUUGACGGAGCAACGCCGCGUGAGUGAUGAAGGUCUUCGGAUCGUAAAACUCUGUUAUUAGGGAAGAACAAAUGUGUAAGUAACUAUGCACGUCUUGACGGUACCGAAUCAGAAAGCCACGGCUAACUACGUG
rnacentral:rRNA from 1 species